rnacentral:rRNA from 1 species
CCUGAUGCAGCGAUGCCGCGUGCGGGAAGAAGGCCUUAGGGUUGUAAACCGCUUUCAGGAGGGAAGAAAAUGACGGUACCUCCAGAAGAAGGUGCGGCCAACUACGUGCCAGCAGCCGCGGUGACACGUAGGCACCAAGCGUUAUCCGGAUUUAUUGGGCGUAAAGAGCUCGUAGGCGGUUUGGUAAGUCGGGUGUGAAAACUCUGGGCUCAACCCAGAGAGGCCACUCGAUACUGCUAUGACUAGAGUACGGUAGGGGAGCGGGGAAUUCCUGGUGUAGCGGUGAAAUGCGCAGAUAUCAGGAGGAACACCAGCGGCGAAGGCGCCGCUCUGGGCCGUAACUGACGCUGAGGAGCGAAAGCAUGGGUAGCAAACAGGAUUAGAUACCCUGGUAGUCCAUGCCGUAAACGUUGGGCACUAGGUGUGGGUCUCAACCAACGAGAUCCGCGCCGUCGCUAACGCAUUAAGUGCCCCGCCUGGGGAGUACGG